AUGGCUGGCUUGGAAGGUUUCGAGUUCUUCGAGAUCGUAAUUGAGAAAUCUUGCAGUAGGCAGAGGCUGCCUGACAAGUUUGCGAAGAUGCUCGCCGGUCGUGAGCCCCACAAAGUGAAGCUGCGGGAGGCCGGCAGUGGGCUUCACAGGCUGUACUGGUGGGAAGUGUUAGUGGUGUUUGAUGGUGAAGGCCACAUGUACCUAGGGCCCGGCUGGGAGCAUUUCGCCCGCGCCCAUGAGCUACAGCUCGGGUACUUCCUUGUCUUCCGCUACGAUGGCGACGCCAUGUUCACCAUGAAGAUGUUCGACAACACCAUGUGCCGCAUGUACUACCAGCACGACGACGAUGCCAGCAAUGGGAGCAGCAACGGGGAUGACGAGGAGCAGAGCGGGGAUGACAACGAGGAGCAGAGCGGGGAUGACGAGGAGCAGCCUAUUCUGGCUGACGACGAACAUGCUAUGGUAGUGGCUGACGACGACCCUGCUAUGUUGGUGGCGGAUGACGACCUUGCUAUGGUGGUGGCGGACGACGACCUUGCUAUGGUGGUGGCGGACGACGACCUCGCGAUGGUGGUGGCAGACGAUGACCUCGCCAUGGUGGUGGCGCCUGCAAUCCCAUAG
rnacentral:rRNA from 1 species